rnacentral:rRNA from 1 species
GACGAACGCUGGCGGCGUGCUUAACACAUGCAAGUCGAACGGAAAGGCCCUGCUUUUGUGGGGUGCUCGAGUGGCGAACGGGUGAGUAACACGUGAGUAACCUGCCCUUGACUUUGGUAUAACUUCAGGAAACUGGGGCUAAUACCGGAUAGGAGCUCCUGCUGCAUGGUGGGGGUUGGAAAGUUUCGGCGGUUGGGGAUGGACUCGCGGCUUAUCAGCUUGUUGGUGGGGUAGUGGCUUACCAAGGCUUUGACGGGUAGCCGGCCUGAGAGGGUGACCGGCCACAUUGGGACUGAGAUACGGCCCAGACUCCUACGGGAGGCAGCAGUGGGGAAUAUUGCACAAUGGGCGGAAGCCUGAUGCAGCAACGCCGCGUGCGGGAUGACGGCCUUCGGGGUGUAAACCGCUUUCGCCUGUGACGAAGCGUGAGUGACGGUAAUGGGUAAAGAAGCACCGGCUAACUACGUG